AUGUCUCCCCAACUAAUGUGUAAGUUCCUUGCCUCUACUUCAUUGUUGAACUCCAAGUCCUAGCAUAGUGCCUAACAUAUGAGUUUCUCUCAUGUCUGCAGUUUUUAAAAGUAACCAGCCCAAAAUAAUCCUCAUGCCAAAGAGACAUAUCUUGGAGUGGCCAAUUCCAGUCCCCCACAUAAGGGGCACGGAACCAAAAGCUGAGCACAUGCAGAAGAGAAAAUUUUGGCCUGCCAAUUGAAUGUCAUUCUGCCAGUGAUUCUGCAUAUCAGCGGGCCCUCCCUAAUCCCUUAAACCUGACCCCAAACCUUGGAUGAGGGACACAGUUGUCAGUCUUGCUUCCUGUCUCUUUGCCAGUUGACCUCACAAUAAAGCCUUUUCUUUUCUCAAAAGCCAGUGCCAUAGUUUUGGCUUUUAUGUGCAUUGGGGAGUGAGCCCUUGCUUGACACUAACACCAUAAACUAUUUAUGCAAAAUUUUAAAAAAUAAUGAAUUGGAGCUAUGUUUAUUGACUUGAUGGCAUUUUAUGAGCUCUUGCUAUGAAAACAAAGAUGUGAUGAAACACGUAAUAUAUAAUCUCACAUUUAAAGCAUAGAAUGAUAAAAGCAAACCGUAUAUACCUGAGUA
rnacentral:lncRNA from 1 species